UUUGGGCAAGCAUCAAUUUUGGUGUAAUGAAGGCCAAGCUUAUUGAUGAUUUUCUUAGCUUCAUAGAAGGAACAUGGAAUUUUAGCAUAAUCAAAGGCAUCUGCUAACAACUCCAAUAUCAUUGACAUUGCCUUGUCAGAAAUUCUACAUAGACAUUUGAUGUGGUACAAUUUGAGCAAGAAAGAAAGUUUAGAAUACUUGCCACAUCCUUCAU
rnacentral:lncRNA from 1 species